rnacentral:lncRNA from 10 species
UCCAAUGUAACCCAAAUGGCACUCAUAUACCAACCACCUCAGCAAACUUACAGUUGGAAAAAGACAGCAAUAAUUCAAAAGUAUUUUCUUAAAGUAAUUAUUUUUUUGUUAAAGGGAAAUAAAAAAUGCAUAAGCUGCUGGUUUUAGUCAAAUUGGGGUAUCUAAAAUUAUGGUUUAUUUACAUAUAAUAAUUAUAUUAAUAGAUUAGUUUUAACAAAUAAUAUGGCAGGGAAGGAUAGUUUUCUAUUUUGCAAAUAUAUUCACACAAAUUAUCUUGAAUCUGAAAUAAAUCUUUUGUCUUUGCAUGACUCUGCUUCAAUUAAUUUUAGAAAAUAAAAAUACUCUACCUUUUAUUGAGGUUCCAAAAGGGAUUGCAAUAUUAACCUAAAAUAUAAAAUUAUUUAAUAAUUCAGUCUUUUCAUUGUUUGUCUUGCUGACUCUCUGGAUGGGUAUUUAUAUUCCACAAGAAUAUACUUUUGCAUGAGGGAAAAAAGACUCUCCCUUCUGAUCUAAAUGAAAUCAUGAUUAAAUGUUAAUAAAAUUCAUAACAAAGGAGCAUUUAUUUUAAUGUUAGAUCAUUGAUUCCGUUGUUUCUUUAAAUGUUUUAUAAAAAAGGAAUUUAUGCAUUCCCAUUUUUAAACAUUGUAUGGAAACCAAAAAAUAAGGAAAAAUUUUGAAGUACAAAUUAUUUCAAAAUUAAUUUUUUCAAAUCUGAGAACAGAUUGCCUACUCCAAGGCCAGAGGUUGCAUAAAGCUUAAGAUUUGACAGUUUGAGGAGGGUGCCCCUAAAAUCAAGAUUUCUGGAUCUUACAAUGGUAGUUAGCCCUCUAAUAAUAGGCAAAGAUGCUAAACACUUCAAUUUCUACUAAUCUAAAAAAAUGCACGUAGGAGGAUACUUCAGAGGCAUCACAAACUUUUCUAGUUGGUUAAAAAGCACAGCUUUUAUUUCCGUUUGAAGAGAAAGGUAGAGGAGUUAAAAGGGAAAGGGGGAUAAAGGAAACACAAAAACUCUGAAUCAAAAGGAUGUUCAUAGUAUUCAAAAGCAUCUAACAAUAAUCUGAAUGUCCAACCAUGAGAUAAUUGUUAAGUAACUUAUGGCAGAGCCACACAACAAAAUAUAAUUGAGUCAUCCUUUAAGAUAAAGAAAAACGAUAUAUGAUGUAAUGUUACUCAUGCAAAGUUGAUUUUACAGUAUGCUUUCUGCUAUAUAAAAAACAGACUAGAAGGAAACAGACCACUAUUUCAUGGUGGCUAUUUCUGGAUGGCAGAAAUAUGGGUGACUUUCUGUUCUCUGCUAUUUUUUGGUCCCUAAGCAUCUAGAGACUCUUUUCCAGGACUCUCCAAAAUCUUGAGUUAUCUAAUAUGCCUAACCAGACUCCUUGAGUUCAGUGUUCUUUCAGUAGGGCAGGAAUUACCACUGUGGUCUGCUUGCCCAUCUACUGGGAUUUAAUAAGAACACCGGAGUAAACCUUCCAGCAGCAACUCAUAGCACUCAGAAUAAAAUUCCAACUCCUUAGCUUGGUAUCCAAGCUCAGGCCCUUGCUCACUUCUCCUACCCAGCCCCUCGCUCGCUGUGUCCAGCCAACUGGCCAAGUUCAUUCCCUCCUAAGAGUGUUUAAACACACUGUUCUCUCUGCCUAGAACUCUUUUCCCCAGAACUUCCUAUGAAUGGCUCAAAAUUACACUAAAUGCCUCAAAAUGCCACCUCCUUACAAAGGCCUUCCCUGACACUGAUUCCCAUUUAGCUGCCUCUCCCC